rnacentral:rRNA from 1 species
UACGGGGGGGGCAAGCGUUGUUCGGAAUUACUGGGCGUAAAGGGCUCGUAGGUGGCCAACUAAGUCAGACGUGAAAUCCCUCGGCUUAACCGGGGAACUGCGUCUGAUACUGGAUGGCUUGAGUUUGGGAGAGGGACGCGGAAUUCCAGGUGUAGCGGUGGAAUGCGCAGAUAUCAGGAGGAACACCGGUGGCGAAGGCGGGUCUCUGGGCCGAUACUGACGCUGAGGAGCGAAAGCGUGGGGAGCAAACAGG